rnacentral:rRNA from 1 species
UACGUAGGGUGCAAGCGUUGUCCGGAAUUAUUGGGCGUAAAGAGCUCGUAGGCGGUUUGUCGCGUCUGCUGUGAAAACUCAGGGCUUAACCCUGAGCCUGCAGUGGGUACGGGCAGACUAGAGGUGUGGUGGGGGAGAUCGGAAUUCCUGGUGUAGCGGUGAAAUGCGCAGAUAUCAGGAGGAACACCGGUGGCGAAGGCGGGUCUCUGGGCCGUAACUGACGCUGAGGAGCGAAAGCGUGGGGAGCGAACAGG